UACGUAGGCAGCGAGCGUUGUUCGGAGUUACUGGGCGUAAAGCGUGCGUAGGCGGUGUCUUAAGUUUGUUGUGAAAUCUCCCGGCUUAACCGGGAGGGUGCGGCGAAUACUGAGAUGCUGGAGUGCCGGAGAGGUAAGCGGAAUUCCUGGUGUAGCGGUGAAAUGCGUAGAUAUCAGGAGGAACACCUGCGGUGUAGACGGCUUACUGGACGGUAACUGACAUUGAGGCACGAAAGCGUGGGGAGCAAAACGG
rnacentral:rRNA from 1 species